GNAGGAUCCGAGCGUUAUCCGGAUUUAUUGGGUUUAAAGGGAGCGUAGACGGANCAGCAAGUCUGAUGUGAAAACCNGGNGCUCAACCCCGGGACUGCAUUGGAAACUGUUGAUCUGGAGUGCCGGANAGGUAAGCGGAAUUCCUAGUGUAGCGGUGAAAUGCGUANAUAUUAGGAGGAACACCAGUGGCGAAGGCGGCUUACUGNACNGUAACUGACGNUGAGGCUCGAAAGCGUGGGGAGCAAACAGGAUUAGAUACCCUGGUAGUCCACGCCGUAAACGAUGACUACUAGGUGUCGGGUGGCAAAGCCAUUCGGUGCCGCAGCCAACGCAUUAAGCAUUCCACCUGGGNAGU
rnacentral:rRNA from 1 species